GAGGGUAUAGCUCAGAGGUAAAGUACGGGCUUAGCAUGCACGAGGUCCUGGGUUCAAUCCCUAGUACCUCCA
rnacentral:tRNA from 1 species